rnacentral:lncRNA from 1 species
AUGGGGGGGCUGAGGGACCUCGGGAUGGCCCCGAUCCCGUGGGAAUCCCAGCCCUGCCCUGGGAUCACCGGGAUCGCCCUGAGAUCCAGGGGGGACCCGGCCCCAGAUCCAGGGAAUGUUCCCAGGAUCCCUGAUCCAGGCCCAGAUCCAGGAAUCCCAUCCCAGAUCCAGGAAUCACAUCCCAGCUCAGAGAUCCAGCCCCAAACCCAGGAAUCCCAUCCUGGAUCCCUGGUCCAGAUCAGGAAUCUCAUCCCAGAUCCCUGUCCCAGAUCCAGGAAUCCCAUCCCAGGUCUGUUUCCCACAUGAGAUCCCCAAAUCCAGGGGCCAUUCCCAGCAUCCCCAUUUUCCAAUGUCUGCCCCAAACCCAUCCCCUAUUCCCACCCCAAAUCCAGGGA